rnacentral:rRNA from 1 species
GAUGAACGCUGGCGGCGUGCCUAAUACAUGCAAGUCGAGCGAACGGACGAGAAGCUUGCUUCUCUGAUGUUAGCGGCGGACGGGUGAGUAACACGUGGAUAACCUACCUAUAAGACUGGGAUAACUUCGGGAAACCGGAGCUAAUACCGGAGAAUAUUUUGAACCGCAUGGUUGAAAAGUGAAAGACGGUCUUGGUGUCACUUAUAGAUGGAUCCGCGCUGCAUUAGCUAGUUGGUAAGGUAAAGGCUUACCAAGGCAACGAUGCAUAGCCUACCUGAGAGGGUGAUCGCCCACACUGGAACUGAGCCACGGUCCAGACUCCUACGGGAGGCAGCAGUAGGGAAUCUUCCGCAAUGGGCGAAAGCCUUACGGAGCAGCGCCGCGUGAGUGAUGACGGUCUUCGGAUCGUAAAACUCUGUUAUUAGGGAAGAACAUAUGUGUAAGUAACUGUGCACAUCUUGACGGUACCUAAUCAGAAAGCCACGGCUAACUACGUG